rnacentral:rRNA from 1 species
GAUGAACGCUGGCGGCGUGCCUAAUACAUGCAAGUCGAGCGAACGGACGAGAAGCUUGCUUCUCUGAUGUUAGCGGCGGACGGGUGAGUAACACGUGGAUAACCUACCUAUAAGACUGGGAUAACUUCGGGAAACCGGAUCUAAUACCGGAUAAUAUUUUGAACCGCAUGGUUCAAAAGUGAAAGACGGUCUUGCUGUCACUUAUAGAUUGAUCCGCGCUGCAUUAGCUAGUUGGUAAGGUAACGGCUUACCAAGGCAACGAUGCAUAGCCGACCUGAGAGGGUGAUCGGCCACACUGGAACUGAGACACGGUCCAGACUCCUACGGGAGGCAGCAGUAGGGAAUCUUCCGCAAUGGGCGAAAGCCUGACGGAGCAACGCCGCGUGAGUGAUGAAGGUCUUCGGAUCGUAAAACUCUGUUAUUAGGGAAGAACAUAUGUGUAAGUAACUGUGCACAUCUUGACGGUACCUAAUCAGAAAGCCACGGCUAACUACGUG